rnacentral:tRNA from 1 species
AAUAAAGUGGCUGAGUUUAAGGCGGUAGAUUGUAAAUCUGUAAACGAAUGAAAUUCCUUUAUUA